GACGAACGCUGGCGGCGUGCCUAAUACAUGCAAGUCGAACGCACUCUCGUUUAGAUUGAAGGAGCUUGCUCCUGAUUGAUAAACAUUUGAGUGAGUGGCGGACGGGUGAGUAACACGUGGGUAACCUGCCCUAAAGUGGGGGAUAACAUUUGGAAACAGAUGCUAAUACCGCAUAAAACCUAACACCGCAUGGUGUAGGGUUGAAAGAUGGUUUCGGCUAUCACUUUAGGAUGGACCGCGGUGCAUUAGUUAGUUGUGAGGUAAAGGCUCACCAAGACCGUGAUGCAUAGCCGACCUGAGAGGGUAAUCGGCCACACUGGGACUGAGA
rnacentral:rRNA from 1 species